rnacentral:tRNA from 1 species
GGGGUUGUGGCUCAGUGGUAGAGCGCUUGCCUAGCAUGUGUGAGUCCCUGGGUUCAAUCCCCAGCAACACAU